AGAGUUUGAUCCUGGCUCAGGAUGAACGCUAGCGGCAGGCUUAACACAUGCAAGUCGAGGGGCAGCGGGGAGGAAGCUUGCUUUCUCCGCCGGCGACCGGCGCACGGGUGAGUAACACGUAUGCAACCUGCCCCUGUCAGGGGGACAACCCGCCGAAAGGCGGGCUAAACCCGCGUACAUGCCACCGGGGCAUCCCGGAGGCAGGAAAGGCUUCGGCCGGACAGGGAUGGGCAUGCGGCGCAUUAGGCAGUAGGCGGGGUAACGGCCCACCUAACCGACGAUGCGUAGGGGUUCUGAGAGGAAGGUCCCCCACACUGGUACUGAGACACGGACCAGACUCCUACGGGAGGCAGCAGUGAGGAAUAUUGGUCAAUGGUCGGGAGACUGAACCAGCCAAGCCGCGUGAGGGAGGAAGGUACAGAGUAUCGUAAACCUCUUUUGUCAGGGAACAAAGGCGGGGACGUGUCCCCGGAUGAGUGUACCUGAAGAAAAAGCAUCGGCUAACUCCGUGCCAGCAGCCGCGGUAAUACGGAGGAUGCGAGCGUUAUCCGGAUUUAUUGGGUUUAAAGGGUGCGCAGGCGGUCUGUUAAGUCAGCGGUCAAAGCCCGGGGCUCAACCCCGGCCCGCCGUUGAAACUGGCAGUCUCGAGUUGGAGAGAAGUAUGCGGAAUGCGCGGUGUAGCGGUGAAAUGCAUAGAUAUCGCGCAGAACUCCGAUUGCGAAGGCAGCAUGCCGGCUCCACACUGACGCUGAGGCACGAAAGCGUGGGUAUCGAACAGGAUUAGAUACCCUGGUAGUCCACGCAGUAAACGAUGAAUGCUGGCUGUCCGGGGGGAUUGACCCCUGGGUGGCGAAGCGAAAGCGAUAAGCAUUCCACCUGGGGAGUACGCCGGCAACGGUGAAACUCAAAGGAAUUGACGGGGGCCCGCACAAGCGGAGGAACAUGUGGUUUAAUUCGAUGAUACGCGAGGAACCUUACCCGGGCUCAAACGGGGAGUGACUCAGGCAGAGACGCCUGUUUCCCACGGGACACUCCCCGAGGUGCUGCAUGGUUGUCGUCAGCUCGUGCCGUGAGGUGUCGGCUUAAGUGCCAUAACGAGCGCAACCCCCGCGUGCAGUUGCUAACAGAUAACGCUGAGGACUCUGCACGGACUGCCGGCGCAAGCCGCGAGGAAGGCGGGGAUGACGUCAAAUCAGCACGGCCCUUACGUCCGGGGCGACACACGUGUUACAAUGGGUGGUACAGCGGGAAGCCAGGCGGCGACGCCGAGCGGAACCCGAAAUCCACUCUCAGUUCGGAUCGGAGUCUGCAACCCGACUCCGUGAAGCUGGAUUCGCUAGUAAUCGCGCAUCAGCCAUGGCGCGGUGAAUACGUUCCCGGGCCUUGCACACACCGCCCGUCA
rnacentral:rRNA from 1 species